CCGCCGGCGACCGGCGCACGGGUGAGUAACACGUAUGCAACCUGGCCGUGACAGAUGGAUAACCGGGAGAAAUCCCGCCUAAUACAGCAUGACGCCGCGGGAGGACAUCCUCCCGCGGCCAAAGGGGCGACCCGGUCACGGAUGGGCAUGCGGCGCAUUAGGUAGUUGGUGGGGCAACGGCCCACCAAGCCGACGAUGCGUAGGGGUUCUGAGAGGAAGGUCCCCCACAUUGGAACUGAGACACGGUCCAAACUCCUACGGGAGGCAGCAG
rnacentral:rRNA from 1 species